rnacentral:rRNA from 1 species
AGACCCGAAACCCGGUGAUCUAGCCAUGGGCAGGUUGAAGGUUGGGUAACACUAACUGGAGGACCGAACCGACUAAUGUUGAAAAAUUAGCGGAUGACCUGUGGCUGGGGGUGAAAGGCCAAUCAAACCGGGAGAUAGCUGGUUCUCCCCGAAAGCUAUUUAGGUAGCGCCUCGUGAAUUCAUCUCCGGGGGUAGAGCACUGUUUCGGCUAGGGGGCCAUCCCGGCUUACCAACCCGAUGCAAACUGCGAAUACCGGAGAAUGUUAUCACGGGAGACACACGGCGGGUGCUAACGUCCGUCGUGAAGAGGGAAACAACCCAGACCGCCAGCUAAGGUCCCAAAGUCAUGGUUAAGUGGGAAACGAUGUGGGAAGGCCCAGACAGCCAGGAUGUUGGCUUAGAAGCAGCCAUCAUUUAAAGAAAGCGUAAUAGCUCACUGGUCGAGUCGGCCUGCGCGGAAGAUGUAACGGGGCUAAACCAUGCACCGAAGCUGCGGCAGCGACGCUGAUGCGUUGUUGGGUAGGGGAGCGUUCUGUAAGCCUGCGAAGGUGUGUCGUGAGGCAUGCUGGAGGUAUCAGAAGUGCGAAUGCUGACAUAAGUAACGAUAAAGCGGGUGAAAAGCCCGCUCGCCGGAAGACCAAGGGUUCCUGUCCAACGUUAAUCGGGGCAGGGUGAGUCGACCCCUAAGGCGAGGCCGAAAGGCGUAGUCGAUGGGAAACGGGUUAAUAUUCCCGUACUUGGUGUUACUGCGAAGGGGGGACGGAGAAGGCUAUGUUGGCCGGGCGACGGUUGUCCCGGUUUAAGCGUGUAGGUGUGUGUUCCAGGUAAAUCCGGUUCACUUUAACACUGAGGCGUGAUGACGAGGCACUACGGUGCUGAAGCAACAAAUGCCCUGCUUCCAGGAAAAGCCUCUAAGCAUCAGGUAACAUCAAAUCGUACCCCAAACCGACACAGGUGGUCAGGUAGAGAAUACCAAGGCGCUUGAGAGAACUCGGGUGAAGGAACUAGGCAAAAUGGUGCCGUAACUUCGGGAGAAGGCACGCUGACACGUAGGUGAAGUGAUUUACUCAUGGAGCUGAAGUCAGUCGAAGAUACCAGCUGGCUGCAACUGUUUAUUAAAAACACAGCACUGUGCAAACACGAAAGUGGACGUAUACGGUGUGACGCCUGCCCGGUGCCGGAAGGUUAAUUGAUGGGGUCAGCGCAAGCGAAGCUCCUGAUCGAAGCCCCGGUAAACGGCGGCCGUAACUAUAACGGUCCUAAGGUAGCGAAAUUCCUUGUCGGGUAAGUUCCGACCUGCACGAAUGGCGUAAUGAUGGCCAGGCUGUCUCCACCCGAGACUCAGUGAAAUUGAACUCGCUGUGAAGAUGCAGUGUACCCGCGGCAAGACGGAAAGACCCCGUGAACCUUUACUAUAGCUUGACACUGAACAUUGAGCCUUGAUGUGUAGGAUAGGUGGGAGGCUUUGAAGUGUGGACGCCAGUCUGCAUGGAGCCGGCCUUGAAAUACCACCCUUUAAUGUUUGAUGUUCUAACGUGGACCCGUGAUCCGGGUUGCGGACAGUGUCUGGUGGGUAGUUUGACUGGGGCGGUCUCCUCCUAAAGAGUAACGGAGGAGCACGAAGGUUGGCUAAUCCUGGUCGGACAUCAGGAGGUUAGUGCAAUGGCAUAAGCCAGCUUGACUGCGAGCGUGACGGCGCGAGCAGGUGCGAAAGCAGGUCAUAGUGAUCCGGUGGUUCUGAAUGGAAGGGCCAUCGCUCAACGGAUAAAAGGUACUCCGGGGAUAACAGGCUGAUACCGCCCAAGAGUUCAUAUCGACGGCGGUGUUUGGCACC